UUUUAACUUAGAUGAUUUUUUUAGGGCUGGAUACAGUUUUUUUUUUGCCAAUUCCAAAUAACCAAGCCGAUUUUUUUUUUAAUGAACAAUUGUUUCUCGGUUAGAACAAUACCCAAAAACGUAUCUACGAUUCCUGUAUUGGAGAGGAAUUCCCUUUGCGACGGAAAAAUGUCGAGUAGCAAUGUAGCUGUUGCAUUUUCUCCACUAGACCGAGAUAAAAAGGUUAUUCUUGUAGGACAUUUGGCCAUGUAGAGUUAUCAUAUUUUGUUUUACUUAAACCAGGAGGAACGUAUAUAUUUAUGAGAAAAAUCGUAUCACUUCUGCACGCUCAACUGACAACUACAUCCUAUUUUUCAGUAACUGGAUUAAUCAAUAUACAAAAAUCAGCACUACCUAUACGUUUAUAAUUUAUACAGGAAUUUUAUUAGGAAGUCUCAUCGAAAUAUAUACGCCAAAAAUUUCUUUGGAAAACACGUUUGGGGCGUUUCAAGAAUAUGAGUUACCGAGUGGGUUCAUUGUAAAAACACCUAUGGACAAAAUUGUAUGGGAGAUAGGAGAUUAAAAUCUGGUGCAGCAAGAAGCACGGUUUUUAUUUUUUCAAUUUUAAGUCGAAAAAAUAAAAAUAAUUGUCAGUCAACCAUGUAAUCAACUCGUUUGUAUUAUCAUUUAUAAUAUACUAUAUUUUUACAAUAUUAUUUUUCUACUAGAACUAUUUUAGAGAAAAUUAAAUGUUAACAUAAUAUAAUAAAUAAUUAUUGAAGUUUAAUUCUAGAACGAUUGUUCGUCCUGAAACACUUCAUGGAGUACAUCGGGACAUUAUCUUCAAAAUCGGAAUAGUCCCGGCCAAACCGUGAUUUAUUGCAAGUGGUAAACCUAGGUUUAGGUUACCAAUAAAUAUUAAUACAGUAUUGUGAAAUGAUGAAAAUUAUAGGAUAAUGUUCAAGAGUGAAAUAAAAAGGAACACAUGAUGAUGUUUUUGUUUUUAUUUAUUCUUCGAAUCGUCAUCAAUACUAUAGCUCUGGAGACAUUUUCAAUAAAGUAGUUCAAUUGUAUAUGAAUAAUUGAAAAUAUAAAUUUAUACUUUAGAUAAAUUCUAUUAUGUAAUCUUAUAAAUAAUAAUUAUAAAUAAAUUUGUUUUUAAAUAUUUCUUUUGAAAUAACCACGAUAGUAUUUAACACUUUUCAAUUGUACAUGUUACCAUAAUAGUAUAAUGUAUUAGGUAUUCCGUAUUACAGGAUACUUACAAAUUUAAUAAGAAAUUAAUUUAUUAUGAUUAAAAAAAAAAAUCUAAUUUUCAUUAUUCUUUAAUCUUUAUAUUAUUAGCAGUUUCUGUUUAAAUCGUCAUUGUUUCCGCUAUGGUGGUCUCUUCUUCCUUAGCGAAAUUCGAACGUUUCAUUAAAUGAAUAAUAUAUGUUUUUGAAUCCAAUCGUUGGGGUAAAUGCCAAGG